GCGACCCCAGGUCAGGCGGGCCAC
rnacentral:rRNA from 1 species